AUUGAACGCUGGCGGCAGGCUUAACACAUGCAAGUCGAGCGGGGUGAUGGUGCUUGCACUAUCACUUAGCGGCGGACGGGUGAGUAAUGCUUAGGAUUCUGCCUAUUAGUGGGGGACAACAUCUCGAAAGGGAUGCUAAUACCGCAUACGUCCUACGGGAGAAAGCAGGGGAUCACUUGUGACCUUGCGCUAAUAGAUGAGCCUAAGUCGGAUUGGCUAGUUGGUGGGGUAAAGGCCUACCAAGGCGACGAUCUGUAGCGGGUCUGAGAGGAUGAUCCGCCACACUGGGACUGAGACACGGCCCAGACUCCUACGGGAGGAAGCAGUGGGGAAUAUUGGACAAUGGGGGGAACCCUGAUCCAGCCAUGCCGCGUGUGUGAAGAAGGCCUUAUGGUUGUAAAGCACUUUAAGCGAGGAGGAGGCUCUUUUGGUUAAUACCCAAGAUGAGUGGACGUUACUCGCAGAAUAAGCACCGGCUAACUCUGUGCCAGCAGCCGCCGCGG
rnacentral:rRNA from 1 species